rfam:Myotis davidii contig160585, whole genome shotgun sequence.
UUGCAAAAUGAGUUUGAUAAAAAUGUAACAUUUUAGCUUUCUAUAGUAACAAAGUCUAACCUAUUCUGGUGCUCUCCUCUAUGAGACAAGCCGUUAUAUAGACUUAGCCAGU